UUGGCAUAGGCUGGCAGCUACAGCUCCAAUUUGAUCCCUAGCCUGGGAACCUCCAUAUGCUGCAGGAGCGGCCCAAGAAAUGGUAAAAAGACAAAAAAAAAAAAAAAAAAAAGUGCCUAAUUUACUUUUCACAUUAUUGAUCCACGCUAAAACAAGGUUUUAUUUUACUGAAGGUGAAGAAACAUUGUGCCUUUGCUUAAUUGUUUUUUGCGGGGUUUUUUUUGUUUGUUUGUUUUUGUUUUUUUUGUCUUUUGUCUUUUUAGGGCCACACCUGUGGCAUAUGGAGGGUCCCAGGCUAGGGGUCGAUUUGGACUACAGCUGCAGGCCUACACCACAGCCACAGCAACUUAGGAUCAAGCCAUGUCUUCGACCUACACCACAGCUCAUGGCAAUGUCUGAUCCUUAACCCACGGAACAAAGCCAGAGAUUGAACCCACAUCCUCAUGGAUACCAGUCCAGUUCAUUAACCACUGAACCAAGAUGGGAACUCCUUAAUUGUGUUAUUUUUUUCCUCUUUGUAGGAAGUACUGCUUAGAAUCAUAUGUUACUAAUUAUAUACCAACAUCUCAUACAUCCCAAUGUGCAGGUAGAAAGAAUGGAGUAAAGGUGAUCAAGUAUAUUUACAUCAUGAUAAUCCUAAGGGGAAGCCAGCCUCCAUGUUCAAAGGACAUUCAAGUAGCCCACAGAAAGUCUCAUUUGCAGAGCACCAUAGGCAUCCUGCCAACAGCCAACACCAACUUGUCAGGCGAGUGAGUAAGCCACUGUGGGAGCAGCACCUCCAGCCCCAGUGAAGCCUUAAGAUGACUGCAUGACUGCAAGCCUGGACAAUAUGUUGACUACAACCUCAAAAGGCCUGAGCUAGAACAUCCAGCUAAGCUGCUUCUAAAUCCCUGACCCACAGAAACUGUAAUAAAUAAAUGCUUAUUUGUUUGGGGACACCGAGCUUGGGAUAAUCUUUAAUGUAUCAAUAGAUUAAUACACCUUAUUAAGUUUUCAUCUAAGAAUGUAUGAAAGGAAAAGAUUGCUUGAUAGGAAUAAAAGAAAAAGAGCUA
rnacentral:lncRNA from 1 species